CAAAGAGAAGCGAAACUGCGAAGUGGAGCAAAACUCUAAAAAACAAAUCUCAGUUCAGAUUGCAGGCUGCAACUCGCCUGCAUGAAGUCGGAAUUGCUAGUAAUCGUAGGUCAGCAUACUACGGUGAAUACGUUCCCGGGCCUUGUACACACCGCCCGUCAAACCAUGAGAGUUGGCAACACCCGAAGUCGGUAGUCUAACCGCAAGGAGGACGCCGCCGAAGGUGGGGUUGAUGAUUAGGGUUAAGUCGUAACAAGGUACC
rnacentral:rRNA from 1 species